rnacentral:rRNA from 1 species
GCGCACCAGUCGCGAAUCUUCCGCAAUGGGCGAAAGCCUGACGGAGCGACGUCGCGUGGUUGAUGAAGUCUUUCGGGAUGUAAAGACCUUUUAUGAGGGAGAAGUUAUUGAUAGUACCUCAUGAAUAAGGGGUUGGCUAAACUCGUGCCAGCAGCAGCGGUAAUACGAGUGCCCCAAGCAUUAUCCGGAAUUAUUGGGCGUAAAGGGUUUGUAGGUGGUUCUAUUAGUCUUGUGUUAAAGCUCCCGGCUCAACCGGGAAAGUGCAUGAGAAACGGUAGAACUAGAGGAUGCGAGAGGUGUGUAGAACUCAUAGUGUAGGGGGUCGAAAAUCCGUUGAUAUUAUGGGGAAUACCAAAAGCGUAAGGCAGCACACUGGCGCACUCCUGACACUGAGAAACGAAAGACGUGGGUAGCGAAUGGGAUUUAGAUACCCCUGUAGU